UCUUUUGCCGCUUCAUCAUACGGUACACCACUGGCGCUGAUCUUCUUCUUGAGCAUGUGCAUGCUGGCACGCCUAUGGAAGAGCGCGUUCGGUUGUAAGCCAUCGGCAGAAUCAAGAUCAACAAUUAUUUCGGAGUUGCUGACCUUUCACAAGCAAAAAAGCGUAAGAGGAAUACCCCAGUCAAGUGACCCGAAUAAAUACAAACGAAGUAGCAAAUAAACUGUUAAAUAUUGGGAAGAAGGAUGCUGGAUAAAGCACAGAAAAACGCCCAACUGGAAAAAGGCCUCGGCACACAUUCACAAUAUGUAUCAGUUGUCGUUUAUGAAGGCAAAACGGAAUCGAAAAUUUAACUCAUACGACUGCAUAGAAUAUGUAAUAUCAAGGACAAACUUCCGCAGGAAGUAAAAAGAACCAAUCGCAAUCGCAGUCACAGAUUUAUUUAAUCUUAAUAAAAUUAUUUAAUCUUAAUAAAAUAAUAAUAAAAAAAUAAAUAAAUAAUCUUAAUCUAUUUAGCGGAAUGAUACAACAUCGUACUGCAAGGUCAACCCUCACCCACGUGAAUUGUUGAACUUAUUAUUCUUCGGAGCCAACUGAAUGUGUGCGAUAGCUGCUUGUAUGAUCACUAUGACAGAUUGGAUUACUCAUACUGAAUACACUUGAAGACAUAACUAAGUUGGCUGUCUAAAUCGUGGCUCACAAGACAUACUGCAUCAUAUAGUAGACAUUGGUGUUUUAUAUUAUAUUUAUAAUACGAAAUCUUAAUCAGUAUAUAUAUGUAACAAAUAGCAAAGGAAUGACAAGGUAUUGCGGUCACGUUACAAUGAAAUUGAUUGUGAUAUUUAAAUGCUGGUUCAACUUGUGAAGUUUGGCAUGACUUAAAAUUUAUAUUUAAUAAAACAAAAUUGAAAACCUCAAA